rnacentral:rRNA from 1 species
AACAUUAUCGGCCGCUACCAUGCAGUCGAACGAGAAAUGGAGCAAUCCAUGAGUACAGUGGCGUACGGGUGAGUAACACGUGGGUAAUCUACCUCUUAGUGGGGAAUAACCAGGGGAAACUCUGGCUAAUACCGCAUAAGCCUGAGAAGGGAAAGCAGCAAUGCGCUGAGAGAGGAGCCCGCGGCCGAUUAGCUAGUUGGUGGGGUAAGAGCCCACCAAGGCAGAGAUCGGUAGCCGGCCUGAGAGGGCACACGGCCACACUGGCACUGAAACACGGGCCAGACUCCUACGGGAGGCAGCAGUGGGGAAUCUUGCACAAUGGGGGAAACCCUGAUGCAGCGACGCCGCGUGAGCGAUGAAGCCCUUCGGGGUGUAAAGCUCUUUCGUCAGGGAAGAUAGUGACGGUACCUGGAGAAGCAGCUGCGGCUAACUACGUGCCAGCAGCCGCGGUAAUACGUAGGCAGCAAGCGUUGUUCGGAGUUACUGGGCGUAAAGGGUGUGUAGGCGGUUCUUUAAGUUUGGUGUGAAAUCUCCCGGCUCAACUGGGAGGGUGCGCCGAAUACUGAGGGACUAGAGUACGGGAGAGGAAAGUGGAAUUCCUGGUGUAGCGGUGAAAUGCGUAGAUAUCAGGAGGAACACCGGUGGUGUAGACGGCUUUCUGGACCGUAACUGACGCUGAGACACGAAAGCGUGGGUAGCAAACAGGAUUAGAUACCCUGGUAGUCCACGCCCCAAACGAUGCAUAUUUGGUGUGGGCAGUUCAUUCUGUCCGUGCCGGAGCUAACGCGUUAAAUAUGCCGCCUGGGGAGUACAGUCGCAAGGCUGAAACUCAAAGGAAUUGACGGGGGCCCGCACAAGCGGUGGAGCAUGUGGUUCAAUUCGACGCAACGCGAAGAACCUUACCUGGGCUCGAACGGCUUCUCAACGCCCGGUAGAAAUACUGGUACCCCACAAGGGGUGGAGUCGAGGUGCUGCAUGGCUGUCGUCAGCUCGUGUCGUGAGAUGUUGGGUUAAG